UGAAGAUGCCACAGAGACGUUCUUUCCAUGUAAACAUCUUUCGCUGUGUAAGAAAUGCUGUCCUCCAAAUAUACCUAAACGAUGCCUCAAGUGUGGACGGAAUAUAACGAGCAAAACUACUUUGGAGGAUCCAAAUUCGUCAAAGAGAGAAGUCCAGACGUUGAGAGAACCAACUG